UUUUUUUUUUUUGUUUUUUUUUUUUCAAAAUUAGUUAAGGUUUUAUCUAAUUUAGAAAACAUCUAAUCAAAUUUUUUUAAAAAUGAGAAUAAAUAAAAAACAAUUUAUACAAACAUUCCAAGUAAAUAUAUGAACAAGAGUUUCUAAUGGACACUCACAACACACUCAGGGAUGACCUUCAACUUCAAAUUAAUUGAAGUCAUGAGUCCAUGUGGUGCUCUAGUUUAAGAAUGGAUCUUUUGACAUUUUUUUAAUUACUAGAGGUGCUUUGCACAGCAUAAAAUAGUUUAUAAUGAGAAAAAAAAAAAAAAAGUAAUGGGG